ACCAACACGCUUUGGCAGAGAGGGCUAAAAAACCCUGCAAAACUGCAAAUCUCAGGAUCUGAAAGGAUGGAGCCAUAGCGCUUGAAGUGGGUGUCAAACUGUAUUAUUUCUGCACCCAAACUCUCUAGACAAAAAGAAACCUCCUUUUUAAAAGUCCAGCCACAACUGGAGAUCUUGCAAUUCCUACCUUUGCUGCUGAAAAGCGACCCUAUCUGCAAGGAUGCUAGUUCCUCUUGUGGCAUGACCAUGUUCAAGUCGCAAAUGUAAACCUGUUUUUGAAGAAUGGUCUAAAAACAACGUAUAAAUGCUUAGUUUAAGUCUGUCCGGUUUGACUCCGUUGUGGCUUGUGUCCCCUGCACAGCGCAACCCUUCACCUUGAAGAGGAGGCCAAGAAAGUGCCUGAAGCCAAAAAAUACAAUGAAACGAGGGAUAAGUAACAACAAAACAGAACCAGAAAUUCUACUUUGGAGGCGGUGGGGGAACCAGACAGAAUUUGGAUGUAUCCAGACUGCAGAGGACCAUCGUCUUGGCAGCUGCUAAGAACGGGCAUAAAAACCGAUUUGAUGCGAGGGGGGAAAAAAAGCAACGCUGAAUGUGGCUUGGCUCGCUUCCUCCGAAUUCCUCCCUCCUGAGAGAAGAUGGGAUCCGGUUCUCUCCAUCAUGGAGCUGCACACUUGGGCUGCUUGCGACGGGAAUACAAAACGAUCUGAAAGGUGGUUCUUUUUUUUUUGCAAUAAAGAAUUGGGUCA